rnacentral:rRNA from 1 species
UACGAAGGGGGCUAGCGUUGCUCGGAAUCACUGGGCGUAAAGCGCACGUAGGCGGAUCCUUAAGUCGGGGGUGAAAUCCUGGAGCUCAACUCCAGAACUGCCUUUGAUACUGGCGAUCUCGAGUCCGGGAGAGGUGAGUGGAACUGCGAGUGUAGAGGUGAAAUUCGUAGAUAUUCGCAAGAACACCAGUGGCGAAGGCGGCUCACUGGCCCGGUACUGACGCUGAGGUGCGAAAGCGUGGGGAGCAAACAGG